rnacentral:rRNA from 1 species
CUAGCCGUAAACGAUGGAUACUAGGCGUUGUGAGUAUCGACCCUCACAGUGUCGUAGCAAACGCGUUAAGUAUCCCGCCUGGGGAGUACGCGCGCAAGCGUGAAACUCAAAGGAAUUGACGGGGGCCCGCACAAGCGGUGGAGUAUGUGGUUUAAUUCGAUGCAACGCGAAGAACCUUACCAGGACUUGACAUGUCGCGAAUCUCAGGGAAACUUGAGAGUGCCUUCGGGAGCGCGAACACAGGUGGUGC